UGUAGUGUGAACGAUGAUGCAUACAUGUCAACUAUGGGUGUUGGCUCAAACAAUUCGCAUUGGUCUCAAAUCAAUGACAUGCAUUUUGAAGACCAUGGGUUCGAGGUGGACGAGGAUGGUGAGGGCAUUGUCGACGCACCGAAAGGAAGAGGAGGCAACUACACCAACGACAAGGACGUUGUGCUAUGCAAAACUUGGUUGGACGUGUCGAGGGAUCCAUCCGUUGAAGGUGAUCAAAGUAGAGAUGCUUACUGGCUACGGAUGAAAGAACACUUUGACCUUCGCAACAUGAGUGGAAUUGACCGCUCCACACAAUCACUUCGCUCCCGGUGGUCAACCAUCAAAUGGGAUUGUCAACAAUGGGCGGCCGCACAAAAAGCGGUUGAUAAGUUAAACCCAAGUGGCACCAAUGAUGUCAUUUCAUCAUUCCUCAUGUUCACAUCAUGCUUGUUGUUGGUGUUUCUUGUGCUAACUUGUUUUGUUUUCAUGUAG
rnacentral:rRNA from 1 species